ACGAGAGUUUUUAACUCAAGUGGCGGACGGGUGAGUAACACGUAAGAAUUUGCCUUUAGGAGGGGGACAACAACUAGAAAUGGUUGCUAAUACCCCAUAUGCUUUCGAGUGAAAUGGAUUUUUCCGCCUAGAGAGAAGCUUGCGGCUGAUUAGCUUGUUGGUGAGGUAAUGGCUCACCAAGGCGACGAUCAGUAUCUGGUUUGAGAGGACGAUCAGACACACUGGAACUGAGACACGGUCCAGACUCCUACGGGAGGCAGCAGUGGGGAAUUUUCCGCAAUGGGCGAAAGCCUGACGGAGCAAUACCGCGUGAGGGAUGACGGCCUAUGGGUUGUAAACCUCUUUUUUCAGGGAGGAAUCAAUGACGUGUACCUGAAGAAUAAGCAUCGGCUAACUCCGUGCCAGCAGCCGCGGUAAGACGGAGGAUGCAAGUGUUAUCCGGAAUCACUGGGCGUAAAGCGUCUGUAGGUGGUCCAAUAAGUCAACUGUUAAAUCUUGAGGCUCAACCUCAAAAUCGCAGUCGAAACUAUUAGACUAGAGUAUAGUAGGGGUAAAGGGAAUUUCCAGUGGAGCGGUGAAAUGCGUAGAGAUUGGAAAGAACACCGAUGGCGAAGGCACUUUACUGGGCUAUUACUAACACUCAGAGACGAAAGCUAGGGUAGCAAAUGGGAUUAGAUACCCCAGUAGUCCUAGCCGUAAACAAUGGAUACUAGAUGUUGACCAGAUCGACCUGUGCAGUAUCAAAGCUAACGCGUUAAGUAUCCCGCCUGGGAAGUAUGCUCGCAAGAGUGAAACUCAGGAAUUGACGGGGGCCCGCACAAGCGGUGGAGCAUGUGGUUUAAUUCGAUGCA
rnacentral:rRNA from 1 species